GAUGAACGCUAGCGGCAGGCCUGAUACAUGCAAGUCGAGGGGUAUGGGUUGCUUGCAACCCAGAGACCGGCGCACGGGUGCGUAACGCGUAUGCAAUCUACCUUAAUCAGGGGGAUAGCCCGGAGAAAUCCGGAUUAACACCGCAUAACAUUGAGUUGUGGCAUCACAGUUCAAUCAAAUAUUUAUAGGAUUAAGAUGAGCAUGCGUGACAUUAGUUAGUUGGUGAGGUAACGGCUCACCAAGACCACGAUGUCUAGGGGAUCUGAGAGGAUGACCCCCCACACUGGUACUGAGACACGGACCAGACUCCUACGGGAGGCAGCAGUAAGGAAUAUUGGUCAAUGGGCGCAAGCCUGAACCAGCCAUGCCGCGUGCAGGAAGACGGCCCUAUGGGUUGUAAACUGCUUUUGUACCGGAAUAAACCUUCUCUUGCGAGAGAAGCUGAACGUACGGUAAGAAUAAGGAUCGGCUAACUCCGUG
rnacentral:rRNA from 1 species